UACGUAGGUGGCAAGCGUUGUCCGGAAUUAUUGGGCGUAAAGCGCGCGCAGGCGGUCCUUUAAGUCUGAUGUGAAAGCCCACGGCUCAACCGUGGAAGGUCAUUGGAAACUGGAGGACUUGAGUACAGAAGAGGAAAGCGGAAUUCCAAGUGUAGCGGUGAAAUGCGUAGAGAUGUGGAGGAACACCAGUGGCGAAGGCGGCUUUCUGGUCUGUAACUGACGCUGAGGCGCGAAAGCGUGGGGAGCAAACAGG
rnacentral:rRNA from 1 species